rnacentral:lncRNA from 1 species
ACAAGUAUAAUAAAAACCAAAAGCAGCAGAAACAGAAGCGACCAAAGCAUCAACAACAGGAAUAAAAGGAAUAAACAGAAGCUACCACAACAACAACAACAAUAGAAUCCUUUAAAUUUGAAAAAUUAAAGAAAAAAGAAUAAAAAAUUGAAACAGAUGGAAAGGGUUGUGGCGGUGAUGGUGGAGGAGGGGCUGCAACAAUGAACAACGAUGUGGAGGAAGAAGGGUUGCGGCGGUGAACAACGAUGUGGAGGAGGAGGGGUUGCGGCGGUGGUGGAGGAGGAGGGGUUGCCGCGCUCCUCUCUUCUCUUUCUCUCUCCCUCUGCUCUCUCCUCUCUUGCCAUUAGUGUAGGGAGCAGUGGCAGAUCACAGGCAGCGGUGCGGCGGUGCGGCGGUGCCG